AACGUAGGAGACAAACGUUUAUCCGGAAUUACUGGGCGUAAAGCGCACGUAGGCGGCUUUGUAAGUUAGAGGUGAAAGCCCAGGGCUUAACCCUGGAAUUGCCUUUAAGACUGCAUCGCUAGAAUCGUGGAGAGGUGAGUGGAAUUCCGAGUGUAGAGGUGAAAUUCGUAGAUAUUCGGAAGAACACCAGUGGCGAAGGCGACUCACUGGACACGUAUUGACGCUGAGGUGCGAAAGCGUGGGGAGCAAACAGG
rnacentral:rRNA from 1 species